rnacentral:rRNA from 1 species
GACGAACGCUGGCGGCGUGCUUAACACAUGCAAGUCGUACGGUAAGGCCCUUUCGGGGGUCCACGCGUGGCGAACGGGUGAGUAACACGUGAGUAACCUGCCCACAACUUUGGGAUAACGCUAGGAAACUGGUGCUAAUACUGGAUAUGUGCUCCUGCUGCAUGGUGGGGGUUGGAAAGCUUCGGCGGUUGUGGAUGGACUCGCGGCCUAUCAGCUUGUUGGUGGGGUAGUGGCCUACCAAGGCGGCGACGGGUAGCCGGCCUGAGAGGGUGACCGGCCACAUUGGGACUGAGAUACGGCCCAGACUCCGACGGGAGGCAGCAGUGGGGAAUAUUGCACAAUGGGCGCAAGCCUGAUGCAGCAACGCCGCGUGCGGGAUGACGGCCUUCGGGUUGUAAACCGCGUUCAGCAGGGACGAAGCUUUUUGUGACGGUACCUGCAGAAGAAGCACCGGCUAACUACGUG